CAGAGUAUAGCUAAGAUAGAAGAGCAUCCCCCUUACACUGGGAAGGCACUCGUGCAAAUCGAGUUACACUGA
rnacentral:tRNA from 1 species